CACCCUACGGGGCGCAGCAGUGAGGAAUAUUGGUCAAUGGUCGGGAGACUGAACCAGCCAAGCCGCGUGAGGGAAGACGGCCCUGUGGGUUGUAAACCUCUUUUGUCGGAGAACAAAACCCGGGACGUGUCCCGGACUGCGUGUAUCCGAAGAAAAAGCAUCGGCUAACUCCGUGCCAGCAGCCGCGGUAAUACGGAGGAUGCGAGCGUUAUCCGGAUUUAUUGGGUUUAAAGGGUGCGUAGGCGGUCCGUUAAGUCAGCGGUAAAUUGCGGGGCUCAACCCCGUCGAGCCGUUGAAACUGGCAG
rnacentral:rRNA from 1 species